AUUGAACGCUAGCGGGAUGCUUUACACAUGCAAGUCGAACGGCAGCACGAGAAAAGCUUGCUUUUUUUGGUGGCGAGUGGCGAACGGGUGAGUAAUGUAUCGGAACGUACCCAGUAGCGGGGGAUAACUACGCGAAAGCGUGGCUAAUACCGCAUACGCCCUACGGGGGAAAGGGGGGGAUCUUAGGACCUCUCACUAUUGGAGCGGCCGAUAUCGGAUUAGCUAGUUGGUGAGGUAAAGGCUCACCAAGGCUGCGAUCCGUAGCUGGUUUGAGAGGACGACCAGCCACACUGGGACUGAGACACGGUCCAGACUCCUACGGGAGGCAGCAGUGGGGAAUAUUGGACAAUGGGCGCAAGCCUGAUCCAGCCAUGCCGCGUGUGUGAAGAAGGCCUUCGGGUUGCAAAGCACUUUCAGCGAGGAGGAAGGGUGUUGUGUUAAUAGCACAGCAUUUUGACGUUACUCGCAGAAGAAGCACCGCUAACU
rnacentral:rRNA from 1 species